UUAAGGGUUUGUUUGUUGGUAACCAUUCCGGUAAUAUCACUAUGGUACGGGAUGUUAUGACUUAAACGAUUUAGAAGAUACUUAUAUACCAGUAUUCAUCUAUCCCUUUGUUAUAAUAGUCAUAAUAAUAGUCAUAACACAGCUUUAUGGAUUUGCUACUUCUUGGUUUAUUACAAUCAGCGUUUAGAAGACAUAUUUUUAAUUAGCCACGUGCUAUGUAUUUGGACAUUUAUAGUGUUCAAGUCUGCAAGAGGUAGAAGUUCAAUUGAGAGCCAACAUUCUUUAUUAGACAAGGUUUAAUUAUGAAGUCGUUACAAUAUACGCUGGGUAUAAGUUUUGGUUUAUUUCUUACCAUCGCGUGUAAACAGGAUUUCUACAGCAGAUAUAAUUUACAGAAUUCGGUAACUACGUUUUAUUCUCAUGAAAUCAACGACAUAUCCCUUGUUACCUGUGCACUAUUGUGUAUUUCUACUGAAGGUUGUACCUAUUUCUACUGGCAAAACAGAUCGUGUUUUAUUGUAAAUGCAGCCUCACCUGGUACAGAUUCAGUAAAUAUUAAAUCUAUUUACGUUGACCAUGUUCUCAAAGGUAAAUGUAAUCUAGAUGGGUAUGACGUUAUAUUUGGUGGUGUAUUGUGUAUAAAGGUAUAUGACGAAAAAAAGAUUUGGACAGACGCCAAGGCAACUUGUGAACAAGAUGGUGGACAGUUACUUGUGAUGAGAACGAGUGUCUUCUAUAUAAAACUGGAGGCACUGAAGACACUCCAACUAUCUGUAGACAGUGAGCAAUGGAUUGGAGGCAGUGAUCUGACUACAGAAGGCGAGUUUACAUGGAUAGAUGGAUCAGAUGUAACCACCAAGGGAUGGGCAACUGGCCAACCAAA